rnacentral:lncRNA from 10 species
GGGAAACCAGCUGCUACAUCACCAUCAGCCUUGUGACCAUGCCACAUGGUAAGGAGCUGAAAUCUCAGCAGCCACAUGAGUGAGCUCGGCAGCGGAUCCUUUAGGCCCCGUCAUGCAAUCCUGGAUUGCAGCCCUGGACAUCCACUUAACUAGCAAGACUGAGCCAGAACCACCCAGAUGAGCUGCUCCUGGAUUCCCAACUCUCAAAAACUGUGAGAGAUGUUCAACGGUGGUUGUUUGAAACUGCUGAGUCUCAGUAUAAUUUGUUACACAGCACUAGCUAACUCAUACACGUCACGUUUCUGCAGCAGAAUACCUUGGACCUGGGGAGAGCUGGAGAUAAUUACUCAGUACCACCCAGUACAUGGGAAAGUGAUUACUGACAGGCUCAGAAAUGUUAAGAAGAUGCUUAAAAGAAAUGGGCUCAUGAGCCUUCUUUGCUGAAGUAUUAAUUACUAGAUCUGAAUGUUUUGCUUUUCUGUGAUGGAAAACGUGAAGAAAAUAGGGCUUUUUUUUUUCUUUUGAAGAGAUGGGAUUUCCCUCUGUCGCUUAGGCUUAACUGCAGUGAUUCAGUCAUAGCUCACGGCAGCCUCAAACUCCUGGACUCAAGCAAAUGACUGAUAUUUUUUGAGCACCAGCAGUAACGAUAGUUACUAUUCACUGUUUUCUCCCUGCCAGGUGUUCCACAGACAUCCUACAUGCAUGACAUUGAUUCACUCUUACAUUUGACAGGAACCUGGCCGUCCACUCCACCCACGUGCCUUAGCAAAGUGCCCUUGGUGAGGCUGAGGGACUAGGCAGCCAGGACUCCUGAGGGGACCUUAUCAGAGAGGGAAGCCACCUCGGACUGAGUGGUGAGUGCUGCUCUAGGACUGCCCUAAAACUGGAUUUGAACAAAAGACCACAUGCCGUAUGACUCCAUUGGAAUGAAACAUCCAGAACAGGCAAAGCCACAGAGGCAGGAAGCAGGUGAGUGGUUGCCAGGGGCUGGGAGAGUGGGGCCAGGAAGUGGCUGCUCAGGGAAUGGGCUUCCUUUUGGGGUGAUGAAAAUGUUCUAUAACUAGAGGGUGGCAAUGGUGGCAUAGCUUUAUAAAUGGGCUAAAUGCUACAGAAUUCUACAUUUUGAAAAUAGUUAAAAUGAUACAUUUUCUUUUGAGACAGGGUCUUACUGUGUCUGGCAGUCUGGACUGAGUGUGGCUCACUGCAGACUCAACCUCUCUGGGCGUAGGUGAUUCUCCUGCCUCAGCCUCCCAAGUAGCUGGGACAACAAGUGUGCGCCACUACAUCCCAACUAUUUUUUUUUUUUUUGGUAGAGAUGGGGCUUCUGUGUGUUGCCCAGGUUGUUUUUUUUUUGUUUUUUUUGAGAUGGAGUUUCGCUGUUAUAGCCCAGGCUGGAGUGCAAUAGCGUGAUCUCGGCUCACUGUAACCUUGUCCUCCCGGGUUCAAGCAAUUCUCCUGCCUCAGCCUCCCAAGUAGCUGGGAUUAUAGCCAUGCAUCACCACAUCCAGCUA